UACAGAGGUCCCGAGCGUUUGUUCGGAUUCAUUGGGCGUAAAGGGUGCGUAGGUGGCGCUGUAAGUGGGGUGUGAAAUCCCGGGGCUUAACUCCGGAACUGCAUUCCAUACUGCGGUGCUUUGAGGACUGGAGAGGAGACUGGAAUUUACGGUGUAGCAGUGAAAUGCGUAGAGAUCGUAAGGAAGACCAGUGGCGAAGGCGGGUCUCUGGACAGUUCCUGACACUGAGGCACGAAGGCCAGGGGAGCAAACGGGG
rnacentral:rRNA from 1 species